GAUGAAGAACGCAGCAAAAUGCGAUAAGUAAUGUGAAUUGCAGAAUUCAGUGAAUCAUCGAAUCUUUGAACGCACAUUGCGCCCGCCAGUAUUCUGGCGGGCAUGCCUGUUCGAGCGUCAUUUCAACCCUCAAGCACAGCUUGGUGUUGGGACUCGCGUUAAUUCGCGUUCCCCAAAUUGAUUGGCGGUCACGUCGAGCUUCCAUAGCGUAGUAGUAAAACCCUCGUUACUGGUAAUCGUCGCGGCCACGCCGUUAAACCCCAACUUCUGAAUGUUGACCUCGGAUCAGGUAGGAAUACCCGCUGAACUUAAGCAUAUCAAAAGCGGAGG
rnacentral:misc_RNA from 1 species